CAUUGUCCAGCAUACGUUUACCGACGUUCUUCAAUAUGGCACGAUUCAAUUCUACCUGUUGCAGUCAUGGAUGAAAUUCACAAAAACGUGGCUGGAGAAACUGGCAAUAUUGGAAUCAAAUAUGUGAAUAGGGGUAGUUUUUCAAUUUCCUUGACAUUCUCAUCUAUAACGGUAAUCUAUCAACCCUGGCGACUAAAAGGAACGGCUGAAGUAUGAUAUGGUACUAAUUAUGUAUUGAUACCCUGUUGUCAAUUCAACUAGUUAUAAAAUACUUUGCAAAUUGUAUGGUCUUGGUAUUUUUCAAGCGUGAUGUUCGUCAAGAUCAUUUGCAGGAUUUCAGUCUAAACUAAACCAGUGUUAUUCUACACAUCUACUGUUGUUGGUUGCAAGAUUAACAAAUUGAAGAAAAUCAUUUUGUAACAGUAGAAACUGCACCAAUAAAUCUUCUAUGUUUUCUUGUCUAGUUCGACUGCCACUUGUUCCGGAGUAGUUUAUUUCCUGAAUAGAUUGAUGCUACAGUGGAGAUUACUUAACCAUAUACAUAUGUAUGUAUGUAAAUAUGCUGAUGGAAUGACUAAUUGACUUUAUCUUAUCUUCUACGUUCAACACGGCGCUAUUCACCUUCUCGCUUAUGUCCGCACUCACAUACAAGCAUCACACAUGUAUUUGCAACAAAAAAUGCGGGUGUCUACCUCACUAUGCUCUUCUCAACACAGAUGUAGAAUGACAUUGACGAUGAGUUGACAAAUCAAUUUAUCAAGCGACUCGUGUCGUAAAGUGUGCCUGCUGAUGCGUAGAGCCAUCUCUGGAGACGAGUAUAAUAUUAGAUAUAUUAUUAGAUGCAUGGCAUACGAAAACUCUUUCAUUCUCAAAUGUCAAUGAAUAGUUAAUUGAUUUGUAAGUUUGAAAAUAGAAAAUCCAUCCCUAAGCAGACUUGUGAAGAAAUUAUAUUGAGAGGUUGAUAAUUGUCAUUGCAUAAUUUUUAUAGCAACAUGUAGAGAACGCACAGUGCCGAAGAAAUGAUUAUAAUGUUGCUGAUAAGUCUGUACAUUCUUAUG